UCUUGACAUCCACGGAAGAAUUCAGAGAUGGAUUUGUGCCUUCGGGAACCGUGAGACAGGUGCUGCAUGGCUGUCGUCAGCUCGUGUUGUGAAAUGUUGGGUUAAGUCCCGCAACGAGCGCAACCCUUAUCCUUUGUUGCCAGCGGUCCGGCCGGGAACUCAAAGGAGACUGCCAGUGAUAAACUGGAGGAAGGUGGGGAUGACGUCAAGUCAUCAUGGCCCUUACGACCAGGGCUACACACGUGCUACAAUGGCGCAUACAAAGAGAAGCGACCUCGCGAGAGCAAGCGGACCUCAUAAAGUGCGUCGUAGUCCGGAUUGGAGUCUGCAACUCGACUCCAUGAAGUCGGAAUCGCUAGUAAUCGUGGAUCAGAAUGCCACGGUGAAUACGUUCCCGGGCCUUGUACACACCGCCCGUCACACCAUGGGAGUGGGUUGCAAAAGAAGUAGGUAGCUUAACCUUCGGGAGGGCGCUUACCACUUUGUGAUUCAUGACUGGGGUGAAGUCGUAACAAGGUAACCGUAGGGGAACCUGC
rnacentral:rRNA from 1 species